rnacentral:rRNA from 1 species
UAGUAACGGCGAGUGAAGCGGGAAGAGCUCAAGCUUAAAAUCUCCGUGCAAGUUUUGCGCGGCGAAUUGUAGUCUAUAGAGGCGUGGUCAGCGUGGGCGCUUGGGGCAAGUUCCUUGGAAGAGGACAGCAUGGAGGGUGAUACUCCCGUUCAUCCCUGAGUGGCUCGUGCGUACGACCCGUGUUCUUUGAGUCGCGUUGUUUGGGAAUGCAGCGCAAAGUAGGUGGUAAAUUCCAUCUAAAGCUAAAUAUUGGUGCGAGACCGAUAGCGAACAAGUACCGUGAGGGAAAGAUGAAAAGAACUUUGAAAAGAGAGUUAAAGAGUACCUGAAACUGCUGAAAGGGAACCGAAUCGUUUCCAGUGUCUAUAAUCCGUGGCAUAUUUCAUUGGCGAGUGUGCGCGUGCGUGUGCUGUGGCAGUGGCUUUUUUGGCUGCGCUCGGUGCGUGUGCUGUGUGUGCUUGCUGGUGCCCUGUGCUGCGGUGGGACGUCAAGGUCAGUUCGUAUGCUGCGGGAAAUGGCUGCCGAGGAGGUAGGGCUUACGCUCCGCGUUUGUCUGUUAUAUCUUGGUGGACGAGUCGUCGCGGUUGGGACUGAGGUGCCUACAACGUGCUUUUGAGUGGGUUCGUGUCUCCGUGUGCGCCGUGUGCGGAUAGCUUGCUAUGCGUGUGUGGUUGUGUGUGGAUUGGUGCGGGCUUUAACUUGUCGCCGUUC